GAUGAACGCUAGCGGCAGGCCUAAUACAUGCAAGCUGAACGGUAAAUGUUAUAGCAAUAUGAUAUGAGAGUAGCGUAAGGGUGCGUAACACGUAUGCAAUCUGCCCGCAACAGGAGGAUAGCUCCCCGAAAGGGGAAUUAAUACUCCAUAAUAUCACGAGAGGGCAUCUGAUUGUGAUUAAACUCCAAGGGGUUGCGGAUGAGCAUGCGGCUGAUUAGUUAGGUGGUGAGGUAACGGAUCACCAAGACGAUGAUCAGUAGGGGAACUGAGAGGUUGAUCCCCCACACUGGCACUGAGAUACGGGCCAGACUCCUACGGGAGGCAGCAGUAGGGAAUAUUGGUCAAUGGGUGAGAGCCUGAACCAGCCAUGCCGCGUGCAGGAAGACGGCCUUCUGGGUUGUAAACUGCUUUUGUCAGGGGAUAAAAUACCCGUGCGCGGGGAAUUGAAGGUACCUGAUGAAUAAGCCACGGCUAACUACGUGCCAGCCGCCGCGGUAAGAC
rnacentral:rRNA from 1 species